AUGUGGCAUCACGGAUAAAAUAAAGCUACGGCGGUUGUAGAUGGUCAUGCGUACCAUUAGUUAGUUGGUGAGGUAACGGCUCACCAAGGCAGCGAUGGUUAGGGGUCCUGAGAGGGUAGUCCCCCACACUGGUACUGAGACACGGACCAGACCCCUACGGGAGGCAGCAGUGAGGAAUAUUGGUCAAUGGGCGAUAGCCUGAACCAGCCAUGCCGCGUGCAGGAAGACGGCCCUAUGGGUUGUAAACUGCUUUUCUGCGGGAAGAAUACUCUAGAUUCGUUCUGGGGUUGACGGUACCGCAGGAAUAAGCAUCGGCUAACUCCGUGCCAGCAGCCGCGGUAAUACGGAGGAUGCAAGCGUUAUCCGGAUUCAUUGGGUUUAAAGGGUGCGCAGGCGGUGGAGCAAGUCAGUGGUGAAAGCCCGGGGCCCAACUCCGGGAUUGCCAUUGAAACUGUUUCACUUGAGUGCAGUCGAGGACGGCGGAAUGAGUUGUGUAGCGGUGAAAUGCAUAGAUAUAACUCAGAACACCGAUUGCGAAGGCAGCUGUCUAGGCUACAACUGACGCUGAGGCACGAAAGCGUGGGGAGCGAACAGGAUUAGAUACCCUGGUAGUCCACGCAGUAAACGAUGAUCACUCGUUGCUGGCUACGUAGUAGUCAGUGACUAAGGGAAACCAUUAAGUGAUCCACCUGGGGAGUACGUCGGCAACGAUGAAACUCAAAGGAAUUGACGGGGGCCCGCACAAGCGGAGGAACAUGUGGUUUAAUUCGAUGAUACGCGAGGAACCUUACCUGGGCUUAAAUGCAGGCUGCAUUUCCGCGAAAGCGGGAUUUCCUACGGGACUGCUUGCAAGGUGCUGCAUGGUUGUCGUCAGCUCGUGCCGUGAGGUGUCGGGUUAAGUCCCAUAACGAGCGCAACCCCUACCGCUAGUUGCCAGCAUGUAAUGAUGGGGACUCUAGCGAGACUGCCGGUGUAAACCGGAGGAGGGUGGGGAUGACGUCAAAUCAGCACGGCCCUUACGUCCAGGGCUACACACGUGUUACAAUGGCCGGUACAAAGAGCAGCCACCUGGCGACAGGGUGCUAAUCUUGAAAGCCGGUCUCAGUUCGGAUCGAAGUCUGCAAUUCGACUUCGUGAAGGUGGAUUCGCUAGUAAUCGCGCAUCAGCCAUGGCGCGGUGAAUAAGUUCCCGGGCCUUGUACACACCGCCCGUCAAGCCAUGGAAGCCGGGGGUACCUGAAGUCUGUAACC
rnacentral:rRNA from 1 species